rnacentral:rRNA from 1 species
GGCUGCGAUCAUACCAUCACUAAUGCACCGGAUCCCAUCAGAACUCCGCAAUUAAGCGUGCUUGGGCGAGAGUAGUACUAGGAUGGGUGACCCCUUGGGAAGUCCUCGUGUUGCAACCC